rnacentral:rRNA from 1 species
GACGAACGCUGGCGGCGUGCUUAACACAUGCAAGUCGAACGGAAAGGCCCUGCUUUUGUGGGGUGCUCGAGUGGCGAACGGGUGAGUAACACGUGAGUAACCUGCCCUUGACUUUGGGAUAACUUCAGGAAACUGGGGCUAAUACCGGAUAGGAGCUCCUGCUGCAUGGUGGGGGUUGGAAAGUUUCGGCGGUUGGGGAUGGACUCGCGGCUUAUCAGCUUGUUGGUGGGUAGUGGCUUACCAAGGCUUUGACGGGUAGCCGGCCUGAGAGGGCGACCGGCCACAUGGGGACUGAGAUACGGACCAGACUCGUACGGGAGGCAACGGUGGGGAAUAUUGCACAGUGGGGGGGAGCCAGAUACAGCAACGCCGCGUGCGGGAUGACGGCCUUCGGGUUGUAAACCGCUUUCGCCUGUGACGAAGCGUGAGUGACGGUAAUGGGUAAAGAAGCACCGGCUAACUACGUG